UUUCUAGAGAUAGAAAGUUACCUCGGUACAUCGGUGACAGGUGGUGCAUGGUUGUCGUCAGCUCGUGUCGUGAGAUGUUGGGUUAAGUCCCGCAACGAGCGCAACCCCUAUUGUUAGUUGCCAUCAUUCAGUUGGGCACUCUAGCGAGACUGCCGGUAAUAAACCGGAGGAAGGUGGGGAUGACGUCAAAUCAUCAUGCCCCUUAUGACCUGGGCUACACACGUGCUACAAUGGUUGGUACAACGAGUUGCGAGUCGGUGACGGCGAGCUAAUCUCUUAAAGCCAAUCUCAGUUCGGAUUGUAGGCUGCAACUCGCCUACAUGAAGUCGGAAUCGCUAGUAAUCGCGGAUCAGCACGCCGCGGUGAAUACGUUCCCGGGCCUU
rnacentral:rRNA from 1 species